GUUAUGGAUGCUGGAAUGCUUCAUAGCCAAAAGCCCCGGCGCCUAAGGAUGACUCUGCGGACUAUCAGGUAGUAGUCAGGGUAACGACCUGACUAGCCUACGACGGAUACGGGGUGUGAGAGCACUAGCCCGGAGAUGGAUUCUGAGACACGAAUCCAGGCCCUACGGGGUGCAGCAGGCGCGAAACUUCCGCAAUGCUCGCCAGAGUGACGGAGGGAUUCCAAGUGCCUAUGCUAUGCGUAGGCUGUUUUUAUGUCUAAAUAACAUGGAGAGUAAGAGCUGGGUAAGACGGGUGCCAGCCGCCGCGGUAAUACCUGCAGCUCGAGUGGUAACCGCUAUUAUUGGGCCUAAAGCGUCCGUAGCCGGUUUGGUAAAUAUCUGGGUAAAUCGUGAGGCCUAACUUCACGAAUUUCGGAUAGACUGCCAGACUUGGGAUCGGGGGAGGUCAGAGGUACUCCANGGGUAGCGGUGAAAUGUUGUAANC
rnacentral:rRNA from 1 species